UCUUCUCAUCAUCAGUAUAUGCUGAGAUCUUUCUAUAGUAAGCCUGCACAUGGGUGCGAGGACAGGAGGUACCGUUGUACUCUUCGAAGGAGGGUGCUUUGAACUUGUACGGGAUUCUCAAGCCCUCUACCAGCCCCAUAUUUGUAACAUCAAAUCCGAGGGAGUUCUGGCAUUCCAUCGCACGAAUCUUCUCAGCCAGGG
rnacentral:lncRNA from 1 species